CUUCUGAAUCCACAUUUAGCUUACUUAAGGACUGAGGAUCAACGGAGCCUACUGAGGGCAGUGAAUGCUACAGGUAUUCUGCAUCUUAGUGUGCCACCUUGCUAGACAUAGAUAUGGACUCAGCAGUGUAAUAUUAGAUAAUUAGGCUUUGGGGAUUGGAUCUGGUUUUUCUUGUCUACACCAAGCCCCCUAGCUAUUUAUGGAUUUUCAAGAAGUUCCUGUCAUGAACAGGAAAGCGAAAGGCUUGUUUGUCUACUCAUCUAUAAUGAUCCCCUUUGCAACCUGCCAGAGCAAACCUGCUCUAGAAUCAAAGCAUCACCCUGGGGACAUCCUUUGGGAAGAUAGUUACAGGAGCAUAUCCAAAAAGGGAGAGAAACUGAUGGAAGUGGCUGUGAAGUAAGCAGAUGUGAAACAAGUGGACUGAAUUGUUGAUUUUCAUCUCUUCUUCACAGCGUUUGCAAAAGCAAAGUGAAUGGAGUAGAAAAAUGUUAACUUUUAAAAAGAGCAGUAUAAGUACAAGAAAGGUUCCCCUGCCUAACUUUCCAUGAUCCUUCAUCUUUAGUACUCAUUUGCUAGAACUAGGUCUUCUCAAAAAUGGCUGUUUCCCCUCCCCUGAGACUUCAUAAAAUAACAAUGAUUCAGCCGUUAUUGGAGUAUAUCCUAGUAUUAGGAUAAACCAUUGCUUGCUUGGAGUGUUAGCGUAACUAUUUUGUUCCAGAAAAUACAGCCUUCUCCUCUCCAUAGGUGGGACAGAAAUAGGCACUUUCCUACCAACGUGUGCUCUGUCAUUUAGGAAUAGACACUGCCUGAAGAAGGCCGUGUUUUGUGAAUUGCAGGGUCUAGACAAAUUGGAAGUCAAUCCUGAAACAUCAUGCCAGGUAUUAAUGCAGUAUGUGUAUUUAGGAGGGGAAGGAGAGGUUCAGCCAUUUUCUGAGGGGUAAGGAUAUGCUUUACACAGCUAUUGGUAUAGUGGCACAUCAUUUUAUGUACAAAUUAUCAAGCUCAAUUAGAUUUUUAUUUUUGGCUUUCCCUUUAUGAUGAUUCAUUUCACCAUUCAAAUUCUGGUGUGUUUUGUUACAAAAUUCACUCUUUUCCUGAGGGUGUGAGCUGACUGUUCUCGGCAGAUGUUUAGUUUGAUGUUUUAAUUCUUGAUCAGAAUAAACAUGGUUAGCUGAUCUCCAAGGGACUGAGAGUCAAAACCCUAACCUCUUCCCAAUCCUGAACAGCUUUAUUAAGUGCCACUGCUUCCUUAUUUUAUAUGGCUUUAUGUCUGUCUUUAAUUAUAGUCUAGUAUAAUAUCAUCAUAGCUGCUGAGUACUGCCUUGAUAAUCACAAGUUAUUUUGUAAACAGGCUGACCCAGGUGCUGUAUAUAUCCUAUAGAGAGCACAGCUAUUGCUAGAACCUGUUACUAUUGAAAAUCCUGCAGGCAGGCCAAAGGUCACUUGCAUAUGACCAUACUUUGUAGUGGUGGAAGGAAAAAAAACCCCAAAGCAGUCUUGCUUUCUGGCAAAGGUACCAGUGUGUUAAAAUACAUGUGCUCUGCUCAGGAAAGUAUUAACUUGAAAAAAAGUUUCUCCUAAUGUGGAGAGAGUUUAUUCUACUUAUUAAAGCAAUGCACUGAGUUUACACAGGUCAGCAAAAUGCACCUGAGUUACUCUAUGGUUUUAGAUAAAUGUUUUGUCUUACUUGCCUACGUUUCCUCAGGAGUAAAAUUACAAUAAUGAUUACUUAGUGAAUAGUGUCAUGAGGGUAAGCUGCUUCUAGGACGGGAAUUUACCCCAGAAGAACCUUGUAUAAAGAGCAGCUUAGUCUUGCUAUGGUAGGACUUCUACCUCUGUGUAUUUCAGAGCUUUAUUUCAGAGAGAUGAUUGUAUGCAACAGUUGAUGACAUUUUUAACACAUAAAAUAAGCUGUGCACAAAUGAUAAUAUGCAAAGAAAACAAGUGCUAUGGGGAUCUCAGAUCGAUUCCUUUAAACACAGUUCUCCUCUUUAACUGAUUGUGACACUGCUUGUACAAUCCCUUGGGAGUAGAUCCCAGAAACAAAAUCCUUCAAGAGGACUCUCUUCAUCAUCUUGAACAAUACCCUUAUCAUAAAUCCUGUUUGCAGGCACAGGAGCAUUUACAUGAAGGCUCCAACCUAAAGCGGUAUUCAGCUGGCUUGUCCAAACUGGCACAUUUGUAUCGGAGAGGAACCCGUGAAUGAGGCAGUGCAGAUGCCACCUAGACAGACGACAUUUCUUGCGUGAGUGGAUGGGAGGUGACUGAUACACAGGCUGCAUGUGAGGCAGCAUGUGUUAUUUCUUGGCUGUCUGUCCUGGGUCUGUUUGGUGCAACUAAUGUGCAGCUUCUCAUGCUAGUAAGCGAGUGAAGACAGGAAGCCAGCAGAGAGAGAGGCAGAGCACUGCGGUGCAGCACAUACAUUGCUGGACCCUGAAGUCGCCACUCAGAUGAGGAAGGAAACAGGUUAGCAUUUUGUUCUUGUGAUGCUGAACAAUGUGCAGGGUACAGAAGGGAUGUGAAGUCACUCCCAUGUCCCAGUCCCAUCAUCUUUCCUGCUCCCUGCCUCCCACACAUUGCCUCCAAAGGAAAAUGAUUUGCUUUUUACCUUCUGAAGGUUUGGGCUGUGGUUUAGGGAGAGAAGAGAAACAGCUUUAUAAGUAAUGACUCUAAAAUAAAUUACGCUUGAAUCAAAUAAAAAAUAUGUAAAUAUUUCCAGUAUCAUUACAAGAAAAUCCAGAAUAUGUUAUUAUUUUUAUAUAUAAAAAAAAGCUUGUUAGAUCAACAUUUCUUUUAAAGGUAGAAUGAAAACUGAGUUAAGAACCUGGUGGAUUCCCAUUUUCUUCUUUUCUUCCUACCUCCUUUUUUCUCCUAGUCUCCACCCAUCCUCAUCACUUCUGCUCAUGUAUUUAAUUCAAAGGCAAAGAACUAUGAAGUCUCUCUCAACUGAAAAAAAAUACGGAUGAGAUUGUUCACCUGCCAAGUUCAAAU